UACGGAGGGUGCAAGCGUUAUCCGGAUUCACUGGGUUUAAAGGGUGCGUAGGCGGGCAGGUAAGUCCGUGGUUGAAAUCUCUGAGCUUAACUCAAGAAACCUGCCAUGGGAUACUAUUUGUCUUGAAUAAUUGUGGAGGUAAGCGGAAGUAUGUCAUGUAGCGGUGAAAUGACUUAGAUAUGACAUAGAACACCAAUUGCGAAGGCAGCUUACUACACAGUUAUUGACGCUGAGGCACGAAAGCGUGGGGAUCAAACAGG
rnacentral:rRNA from 1 species